GUCACGAGUAGUACGUUAGAAAGAGAUGGACAUAUGGUAGAAAAUGUCAAAAUCAUAUGUUUAUUGUUUACUGUUCAGCUACUGUGUUUUCAAUCGAUAUUUCAUUCUCGUCACAAACAAUUUAGCAGAAAUCUAGGUUUUUAGAAUCGACUGCUACAUGCUAAUAAAGCGAAAGUGAUUUAUUUUUGGAAAUAAUAGACCAAUGAAGGAGUUUCUUUGUUAUUUCAUGUAUGUACAUAUAGGACAUGAUUUACAAAGAUUUACAAGGAAUAUACCUAGUCUACUUUCUAUAUUUCAUAAGGCCACAGCAAGAAUUUGUAGAGGCAUGUCCGAAGAAAAUACUUAACUCUAAUCUGGAUUCAAUAUUAGGAAGAGAAAAGAUUGUCACAGAAAUCUAACACUGGAAAGCCACACGAUAAAGAAACAGGAGCAGUAAAAUAUUACUGCCAGGAGUGCCAGAGAAGAGCAACUAAACCACCUGAUGGAGAACCUAUCAAAAUAAUUGAAAAAAAAAUUGUGAUUGAUUAAUCAUCAUAUAAAUAUUUCCCCGGCAGGAAAUUUCAUGUUAUUUGUGAAAGUAUCAAUAAACAUACUCAAAAUUAUUGUCCUUUUCUCUAUACCACACAUGUUCUUGCUCAAGGAAGGUGAAAUGUUUAAAAAAUUCACUUUAACGAUUAAUUUUUCUCUGUGCAGCCAGAACGCAAAGCAGGGGUCCUUUUAUCUUCGCAAAUCACGAGUAAUUUCAGUGUAUAUAAAAUCAGACUCUGGCGAAUGAGAUAAUAGUGUUGUUUUACACAACUCUCAAGUUUUUUACAUUAAUUAAAAUCAGAAAAAAAAUUUUCAGGUAGUAUUUUUUUUAUACGGAAUCUAUUAUUUUAUCAACACUUGAAAGUUUCAAGUACGAGAAAAAUAUAGUUGAUUUGAUAACAUUUUCGAAGUUGAUUUCAGUCAGAGACAACCUCUGUUGUUGUCUUCUCUUUCAGUACAAAAAUUGCUUCAAAUUAAUAGAAAGUCUAUAAAUCUACCGACAACCACCCAAAAAUGCAACAUGGAGGUUCAGCGGGCUGGUAGAAUUCCCGAGUUUACUCGAUAACUUGGUUGAAGCGGCAACGUUGAUUUAUUCUCUACCAGCUACCAGCUUGACGUUUACUACCAGGGACUACUGUUAUCUCUCUUUUCUACCACCCCCCUCUCUCUCGUUGGUAUUCCUCGAUGCGGUGAACGGGAAAACCACGUG